rnacentral:rRNA from 1 species
AUGCAAAACCACAAGCUUGGGGAUGCUAGUUUUGCUAUGUCCGCUACUUAUUGCAAUGAUCAUGAUUGGGAUGAUGAUGCUUCUUAUGAUCUUGAAAAUUUAUUUAAGCCUCAUGAUGAAUAUGUUUGCAAUAGUAUUGAAAGCGGGUUUAGAAGAGUGUCAACUUUAGUAAAUAAUUAUCCCACUACCUUGGAUUAUGAUCAAUCUUAUGAUUUUUUUGAUAAAAGUGGGCUUGGAGAGGUCAUGGCUUUAGUUGAUGAUAAUCCCACUAUAUUGGAAGAGUGUCAACUUUGCAUGCAUAUGGAUCAUGUAGAGAAAAUUUUAUAUAAUAGCUAUAUUGUUGAAUUUGAGUAUUAUCCUACAUUUAAUUAUUAUGAAAGAGGAAAAUAUGGUUGUGGGAAUUUUCAUGUUACUAAAUUACCUCUCGUUAUGUUGAGAUCGUCAAUGUUUUAUUCCUCUUCUUUGCAUAUGCUAGAUGGUUCUUUUCUUGAUAAUUUGUUUGCUUAUAAAAUUCCUAUUCAUAGGAAGUAUGUUAGACUUAAAUAUGUUUGUCACAUGUUUUAUGAUGCUCUCUUGAUGCUUCAAAUUUUAUCUUUCAUGUGA